CAGAAAACUAACAUUAAUGGAUGUGCUCUACAGUUGUUUUUGUGUCCCGUAGAGUAGAUCUAUUAUGCGUUGGAACAGUGGGGCAGCAUCACACAGGACCAGUCUACCAGCCUGCACUGCCCUGUGAGAUGUUAAGAGACACUGGAACAGAUGAAGAAGACCCCCCCCCCCUUCUUGAGGAGCUUGGCAUCAGUUUUAACCACACCUGGCAGAAGACCCUUACAGUGUUGAACCCGUUUAGGCCAGCAGAUAGCAGCAUUACGAACGAGACGGACCUGGCAGGCCCCAUCCUCUUCUGCAUUGCUUUAGGGGCAACCUU